rnacentral:rRNA from 1 species
GAUGAACGCUGGCGGCGUGCCUAAUACAUGCAAGUCGAGCGAACAGACGAGGAGCUUGCUCCUCUGACGUUAGCGGCGGACGGGUGAGUAACACGUGGAUAACCUACCUAUAAGACUGGGAUAACUUCGGGAAACCGGAGCUAAUACCGGAUAAUAUAUUGAACCGCAUGGUUCAAUAGUGAAAGACGGUUUUGCUGUCACUUAUAGAUGGAUCCGCGCCGCAUUAGCUAGUUGGUAAGGUAACGGCUUACCAAGGCGACGAUGCGUAGCCGACCUGAGAGGGUGAUCGGCCACACUGGAACUGAGACACGGUCCAGACUCCUACGGGAGGCAGCAGUAGGGAAUCUUCCGCAAUGGGCGAAAGCCUGACGGAGCAACGCCGCGUGAGUGAUGAAGGUCUUCGGAUCGUAAAACUCUGUUAUUAGGGAAGAACAAAUGUGUAAGUAACUAUGCACGUCUUGACGGUACCUAAUCAGAAAACCACGGCUAACUACGUG